rnacentral:rRNA from 1 species
CGCUGAGGACGUCUUCUUUAAUAUUAGUGGUGCUUCUAAUGGGCUUUUAAUUAAGCAUCUUAAGCUUUAGACCUCAAAUCAGUCAGGACUACCCGCUGAACUUAAGCAUAUCAAUAAGCGGAGGAAAAGAAACUAACAAGGAUUCCCCUAGUAACGGCGAGUGAAGUGGGAAAAGCUCAACUUUGAAAUCUGGCACCUUCGGUGUCCGAAUUGUAGUCUCUAGAAGUGUUUUCCGUGCUGGCCCAUGUGUGAGUCUGUUGGAACACAGCGUCAUAGAGGGUGACAACCCCGUUCAUAACAUGGACCCCAGUGCUUUGUGAUACACUCUCGACGAGUCGAGUUGUUUGGGAAUGCAGCUCAAAUUGGGUGGUAAAUUCCAUCUAAAGCUAAAUAUUGGCGAGAGACCGAUAGCAAACAAGUACCGUGAGGGAAAGAUGAAAAGCACUUUGGAAAGAGAGUUAACAGUACGUGAAAUUGCUAAAAGGGAAACGAUUGAAGUCAGACGUGCGUGAUGCAGUUCAGCUCUGGUUCGCCAGAGUGUAUUCUGUGUCUUUGCAGGCCAACAUCGGUUUCACGAGGCGGAUAAAGGUUUGAGAAAUGUGGCAGCUUCGGCUGUGUUAUAGUCUCUUGCUGAAUACGCCUCGAGGGACCGAGGAACGCAGCGCGCCGCAAGGCAAAGC